rnacentral:rRNA from 1 species
UAAAGCGUGCGCAGGCGGAAUGUAAGACAGAUGUGAAAUCCCCGGGCUCAACCUGGGAACUGCAUUUGUGACUGCAUUGCUGGAGUGCGGCAGAGGGGGAUGGAAUUCCGCGUGUAGCAGUGAAAUGCGUAGAUAUGCGGAGGAACACCGAUGGCGAAGGCAAUCCCCUGGGCCUGCACUGACGCUCAUGCACGAAAGCGUGGGGAGCAAACAGGAUUAGAUACCCCAGU